GGAAAUUUGGAGAGAUCUGGAGGCUGGGGCUGUUCCUGAUGAACAGUCCCUCUCCAGCUCCCCUUUGGGCCCUUCAGAUCCUGGAAGGUGCUGUGAGGUCUCCACACAACCUUUUCUUCUCCAGGCUGAACAGGCUGGGAAGCAGUGAAAGCAUCAUGGACACAUGUGUGUAUCCCUCCUCAGCUUCCAUGGGCAGUUCAAAAGGUCACCACUUUAUUCAGGGUUGGAAUUUUUGCCUUAGAGAGCCCCAUUAAUUUAACCCUGAGGGGAUUGUUUUACUGGUUUGUUUUUUUUUUUUUUUUCGUUCUCCCAUUUUGUUCUGCACU